GUUCGCCGUCACUUUCUCCGUGGUCACCAUCUGGACCAGCUAUGUCACCAUUUCCGGCAGGGAAAGCACCACCGCCAACGGCCCUAACACCAGGAUUGUCACCCUCUCCGGCAAGUCAUAGUAACGUGCCAUCUCCCACGGCCACCUCUCCGUCACCUUCUCCGGCAAGCCAUGGCAAAUUUCCACCUCCAGGAGCUACCUCUCCAUCACCUUCCCCAACAAGCCAUGGCAACGUGCCAUCUCCCACAGCAACCUCUCCGUCGCCCUCUCCAUCAAGCCAUGGCAACGUGCCAUCUCCCAUAGCAACCUCUCCGUCGCCCUCUCCUGCAAGCUAUGGCAACGUUCCAUCUCCCAAAGCCACCUCUCCGUCGCCCUCUCCUGCAAGCUAUAGCAACGCUCCAUCUCCCACAGCCACCUCUCCAUCGCCCUCUACAGCAAGUCCUGGCAACAUGCCAUCUACCCCGGCAACCUCUCCAUUAAGUCCUGGCAACACACCAUCUACGCCGGCAAUCUCUCCAUCGCCGUCGACCACAACUCCAUCGACGCCUAGUUCAACUUCACCGUCGCCUUUAUCAACC
rnacentral:lncRNA from 1 species